AGUGAACGCUGGCGGUAGGCCUAACACAUGCAAGUCGAACGGCAGCACAGUAAGAGCUUGCGCUUACGGGUGGCGAGUGGCGGACGGGUGCGGAAUACAUCGGAAUCUACUUUUUCGUGGGGGAUAACGUAGGGAAACUUACGCUAAUACCGCAUACGACCUACGGGUGAAAUCAUGGGAUCUUCGGACCUUGCGUGAUUGAAUGAGCCGAUGUCGGAUUAGCUAGUUGGCGGGGUAAAGGCCCACCAAGGCGACGAUCCGUAGCUGGUCUGAGAGGAUGAUCAGCCACACUGGAACUGAGACACGGUCCAGACUCCUACGGGAGGCAGCAGUGGGGAAUAUUGGACAAUGGGCGCAAGCCUGAUCCAGCCAUACCGCGUGGGUGAAGAAGGCCUUCGGGUUGUAAAGCCCUUUUGUUGGGAAAGAAAAGCAGCAGGUUAAUACCCCGCUGUUCUGACGGUACCCAAAGAAUAAGCACCGGCUAACUUCGUG
rnacentral:rRNA from 1 species